GGAUGCGAUCAUACCAGCACUAAAGCACCGGAUGCCAUCAGAACUCCGAAGUUAAGCGUGCUUGGGCGAGAGUAGUACUUGGAUGGGUUACCUCCUGGGAAGUCCUCGUGUUGCGUUCC
rnacentral:rRNA from 1 species